GCAGUCGACGAUGAAGCUGGAGCUUGCUCCGGUGGAUUAGUGGCGAACGGGUGAGUAACACGUGAGCAAUCUGCCCUUGACUCUGGGAUAACUGCGGGAAACUGUAGCUAAUACCGGAUACGAGACUGAGAGGCAUCUCUCAGUCUGGAAAGAAUUUCGGUCAAGGAUGAGCUCGCGGCCUAUCAGCUAGUUGGUGAGGUAAUGGCUCACCAAGGCGACGACGGGUAGCCGGCCUGAGAGGGUGACCGGCCACACUGGAACUGAGACACGGUCCAGACUCCUACGGGAGGCAGCAGUGGGGAAUAUUGCACAAUGGGCGAAAGCCUGAUGCAGCAACGCCGCGUGAGGGAUGAAGGCCUUCGGGUUGUAAACCUCUUUUAGCAGGGAAGAAGCGAAAGUGACGGUACCUGCAGAAAAAGCACCGGCUAACUACGUGCCAGCAGCCGCGGUAAUACGUAGGGUGCAAGCGUUGUCCGGAAUUAUUGGGCGUAAAGAGCUCGUAGGCGGUUUGUCGCGUCUGCUGUGAAAAUCCGAGGCUCAACCUCGGACCUGCAGUGGGUACGGGCAAACUAGAGUGCGGUAGGGGAGAUGGGAAUUCCUGGUGUAGCGGUGGAAUGCGCAGAUAUCAGGAGGAACACCGAUGGCGAAGGCACAUCUCUGGGCCGUAACUGACGCUGAGGAGCGAAAGCGUGGGGAGCGAACAGGAUUAGAUACCCUGGUAGUCCACGCCGUAAACGGUGGGUGCUAGUU
rnacentral:rRNA from 1 species